ensembl:lncRNA TTTY14 testis expressed transcript, Y-linked 14
AGGACGUUUGGUGCUCAUAUUCAUGAAAUAGAUGGAUCUGUAUUGGCUUUUUUAUUGUCUUUAGUUUGAUGUCUAGAGGCUUGGUGGCAUGCAUGUUUAGUCCCAGCUACACAGCAGGGAGGCUGAGGCUGAAGGAAUACUUGAGCCCAGGAAUUCAAGACUAGCCUGCACAACAUAAGCCUCCUCUGUCACCUGGGCUGGAGUGCGAUGGUGUCAUCUUGGGUCACUGCAGCUUCUGCCUCUUAGGUUCAAGUGAUUCUCAUGCCUCAGCUUCCCAAGUAGCUGGGAUUACAGGCAUGCGCCACCAGGCCCAGCAAAGUUUUGUAUUUAUAGUAGAAAUGGGGUUUCACUGUGUUAGCCAGGUUGUUCUCAAACUCCUCACCUCAGGUGAUCACCUGCCUCUGCCUCCCAAAGUGCUGGGAUUAAAGGAAUGAGCCACUGGGUCGGGCAAACACAGAGAUAAAUUGAAAGCAUAUUUAAAUGUUUCCUGUUUCAUCAGUGUUUUGUCUCCUCAGUACCAAAUAAAACAAUAUGAUAACAUCCAACAAUAGCUUCACAUAAUGAAAUAAAAUUGUUUGAAUACAAAGAUAGGGCAACAUGGCUAAUGCCUUUAUGAAAUGCAUUUGGAAUUUGGAUUCUGAAGAUUGUAUUGUGAAAUUGUAGUUGCCACUUAACAAAUGUAAUAGCAAUUGCUAUUGCUGCCUGCUUCAAAAACACAUGGAUCCAAUGUAGAAACAACACACUGAAAGCUACAUUUCAUAUAAUUUCAAUUACUAAAAUUGGCCUUGUCAAGAACAUGAGUAAUCUAAAUUGGGUGUGUGAACUUAUAGGUCCAUAAACCUACUCCUCAAUUAAAGAAGAAAAUCAAAGGGUUGUUAUUGUUACUCUUCCCAUGUUGGCAAGUGAAGCCAAGCACAAUAUUAUCGCUGUUGUUUUCCGUUUUUUCCUUUUCUGCAAAUAUAUUUUCCAAUAUAUUCUGAAGCAAGUGGUGAGCAAAUAUAUUCUCCAAUAUAUUCUGAAGCAAGUGGUGAGGGAGGCUGACUUCAGUUAUUUUGUAGAGUCUCAGAACUUACAUUUAAGGUGUUGCCAGAUGACUAUUUAUAAGGAAACAGAAGUUAACUCUUCUGCAAUAGUUUCUGCUAGUUAUAAAACAUCUUUGAUUGCACACUUAACACCAACCCAGUCAUCUUUAUUUAAAGAAUGCAUUCAAGGCUGGGUGUGGCUGCUCAUGCCUAUAAUCCCAACAGUUUAAGAGGCUGAGGCAAGAGUAUUGCUUGAACUCAGGAGUUCAAGACCAGCCUGAAUACCAAAGCAAGAUGCUAUCUUUAUAAAAAAUUUGAAAAUAUUAGGCAUGGUGGUAUGUGCUUAUAAUUCCAGGUACUUUGGAGGCUGACAUUGCUGAGACCAGCUCAGUCGGGGAGACCCUAACCCAGUGGCGCUAGAGGAAUUAAAGACACACACACAGAAAUAUAGAGCCACAGCAUGUUCCGAAGAGAUGAUUGGAAGAUGGAAGUGGAGGGUUAAAUAAUGAAAUGCAGCUAACAUUUCGGAAAGUUUCUAAAAGUUGUACAACAUGCCCUACAGCUACUCUUUAAAUCUCCAAAUCAAAUGAGUUUCAGGUGGAGCCUCUGGGAGGUGAUGAGGUCAUGAGAGUGGAGCCUCAUGAAUGGGAUGAGCACUCCUACAAAAAGGAUUCCAGAGAGCUCGCUUGCUCCUUCCACAGUGUGAGGACACAGAGGGAAGGCUCUGUCUAUGAAUGAGAAAGUGGGUCCCCACCAGACAUUGAAUCUGCCGCAUCUUGAUACUGGACUUCCAGUCUCCAGAACUGUGGGCAAUAAAUGUCUGUUGUUUAUUACCUGUCCAGUAUCUUUGGUAUUUUGCUAUAGCAACCCAAAUGGACUAAGAAAACACCAGAGGCCAUACCUAAUAAAAAUAUUGACAUCACAAUUUGUUGUAUCAGGUGACUGUUUUUCCACUAAAAUAGUUACUUUAAUUCACGAAUAGCCUGCCAACAGGACAUUGUUCAUCCACCUUGAAACGGCCAUUCAUCAACCAAGCAGGUUGUUGUUGUCAAUAGGGAGCUCUUCAAAGGGCAUUGCCCAUGUGACAGUGGGAUCCAGUAAUUCCUGAGGUGGUUCCAGACUACAUGCUAGAAAAUUCCCUACUACCUGCUCUUGAACAGGAUGAGCAACUCCUUGCACUUCCCUGGUUUGUGAUGAAGAAAUAAACAAUGCCCAGUUCCUGCCCUGGAGAAGCUCAUUGCAUAGAAAAAGGAAAAAGGCAGAUAUACAUGCCACAGUACAGUGCUGAGACAACAUAAAUCACAAGCAACCAAGUACAAAGUGAAUUAUACAGAAUCUGGUUUUCUUCUGUUUGGAUUUGAUACUGAGCUAUACUGGAUUCACUGACAAGAAGAGUUUGAAUUAGCAGCAUGCUGAGAAUGGACACAGUGUUUGAAGAGACUGAUAAAGAAAGUACAGGAGGAGUUUUAUUUUUGGAAGAAGAAAUGGUCCUUGGGCACAGACCCCAUAUGAGUUUUCCUUUCAGCGUUCUCUGCUCAGCUGUUCUCUGCUGUGGUGAGGCGCCUAUGCUUUGUAUAUGUCUGAAAUUAAUUGAAAAGCUAGUGACAGAUUCUGAUGUCAUUUGCCAUGAGCUUUAUUAUUGUGCAGGUAAUUUUGGAUCAAAUCACCCUAACGUUUUUCAACAAAGACUUUAGAAGAAAUAAAGCUGCAUUACUUUUUCUUGGCGCAUUCUUCCUUUAGGACCUAUAGUGAGGCAAUGUGUCCAUGCCCGUCUCUUGUGGGUCAGUCACCACUGACACCUUAUUUUGACCACUCGAUGCCAUCAUCUUUCUCUCAUCGAUCCUAAUCCUUGGGACUACGCAUCAAUGUCUGCACAGUGAUGACCCACCCAACAGUGGCCUCAGCUUGGGGACAUCUGGAGUCGCAUCCACCAUGAGGACGAAGCCUCCUUCUCUUCUGGACCUGCCCAGGAGUGGCCGUUGCUACAAGACCUCUGUUGCUACGUCCAGGGUGAGAAUAAAGACUUCUCCUCAGGACUCUCCCAGGAGAAGACAUGGCAUUGAGACAUCUGGUGGCCAGGAAACUUUGGAAAAUAGUGGAAAGUGACCAAUUCAAGUCUAUUUCAUGGGAUGAGAAUGGAACUUGCAUAGUGAUUAAUGAAGAACUCUUCAAGAAAGAAAUUUUGGAAACAAAGGCUCCUUACAGAAUAUUUCAAACUGAUGCUAUCAAAAGUUUUGUUCGACAGCUCAACCUUUAUGGAUUUAGUAAAAUUCAACAGAAUUUUCAAAGAUCUGCCUUUCUAGCCACCUUUCUGUCAGAAGAGAAAGAAUCGUCUGUCUUAAGCAAGGUAUUUGACAUAUUUGAGUUACCACUUUAUGUAAAGUAUAUAUGUAAUUUUACUUUGUACAUCAGUAAAUAUGUUAAUACAUGCAGUAAGACCAGCUUUUGAAAAUUAUAUAAAAUAUUAAGGUAGAAAUUUUGUUUUGAAAUUAUUGUGUUCAGCUUG